GACGAACGCUGGCGGCGCGCCUAACACAUGCAAGUCGAGCGAGAACCAGGACUUCGGUCCUGGGGACAGCGGCGAACGGGUGAGUAACACGUGGAUAACCUGCCCUCGGCACCGGAAUAGCCCGGGGAAACUCGGAUUAAUGCCGGAUAGCCCCACAUCCCUGCGGGGAACGUGGGAAAAGGUAGCUUCGGCCUCUGGCCGGGGAUGGGUCGGCGGUGGAUUAGCUUGUUGGCGGGGUAAUGGCCCACCAAGGCGACGAUCCAUAGGUGGUCUGAGAGGACAAUCAGCCACACUGGGACGGAGACACGGCCCAGACUCCUACGGGAGGCAGCAGUGGGGAAUCUUGCGCAAUGGGCGAAAGCCUGACGCAGCGACGCCGCGUGCGGGAGGAAGGCCUUCGGGUUGUAAACCGCUUUCAGGGGGGACGAAGCCACUCGGGUGAAUAGCCCAGAGGGUGACGGUACCUCCAGAAGAAGCCCCGGCUAACUACGUGCCAGCCGCCGCUGUAA
rnacentral:rRNA from 1 species